GAUGGAAAGUCCGGCCUGCCCGGUGAGGGACACCCCCCUUUAACGGCAGCGGUAAAGUGCUUUAAUCGUAGCUCAAUUUCCUUGCCCUUUAAUUGUGGAGCUAUGUGAAUGGUAAGACGAGGGUUCAACUGUCUCGUCGCUGAUAGAUUAAAACGGAGCGUGAGUGAAUAUACUCACAUGAAUUAGAGGGACGAUAAGACCCCGUGGAGCUUUAGCACAGGUGGGGCCUGAAAGUGGCCCUCCGUGGCUUAGGCUGGGGCAGCCAGAUGGGAAUGAAAAUACCAUACGAGAGACUAAAAAAGCGGGCGAGCUAUUAACGAUCCACUUCUAAGUGAACGGCGGAACAAGUUACCCCGGGGGUAACAGGCUAAUUUCGCUCUGAGAGUACCUGUUGAUGAGCGGGUUUGGCACCUCGAUGUUGGUUCAGGGUAUCCCGAAU
rnacentral:rRNA from 1 species